CAGUCGCCGCGGGAAUACGUAGGUGGCAAGCGUUAUCCGGAAUUAUUGGGCGUAAAGCGCGCGUAGGCGGUUUUUUAAGUCUGAUGUGAAAGCCCACGGCUCAACCGUGGAGGGUCAUUGGAAACUGGAAAACUUGAGUGCAGAAGAGGAAAGUGGAAUUCCAUGUGUAGCGGUGAAAUGCGCAGAGAUAUGGAGGAACACCAGUGGCGAAGGCGACUUUCUGGUCUGUAACUGACGCUGAUGUGCGAAAGCGUGGGGAUCAAACAGGAUUAGAUACCCGCGUAGUCCCUGUCUCUUAUAC
rnacentral:rRNA from 1 species